CCCCUCUCAGGGUCGCACCUGAAGAGUUUCCAGUACUCUACCAGUCUUGACUAUGCGACGGAGAGUCAAGCAGAGGCAUACCCAUUCCAUUCUUAGCUUGGGCGGUGGCUAGCAAGUGGAAGGCAUUCUGCUACAAGU